rnacentral:rRNA from 1 species
UAGAGUUUGAUUCCUGGCUCAGAUUGAACGCUGGCGGCAGGCCUAACACAUUCAAGUCGAGCGGUAGAGAGAAGCUUGCUUCUCUUGAGAGCGGCGGACGGGUGAGUAAUGCCUAGGAAUCUGCCUGGUAGUGGGGGAUAACGUUCGGAAACGGACGCUAAUACCGCAUACGUCCUACGGGAGAAAGCAGGGGACCUUCGGGCCUUGCGCUAUCAGAUGAGCCUAGGUCGGAUUAGCUAGUUGGUGAGGUAAUGGCUCACCAAGGCGACGAUCCGUAACUGGUCUGAGAGGAUGAUCAGUCACACUGGAACUGAGACACGGUCCAGACUCCUACGGGAGGCAGCAGUGGGGAAUAUUGCACAAUGGGCGCAAGCCUGAUGCAGCCAUGCCGCGUGUGUGAAGAAGGCCUUCGGGUUGUAAAGCACUUUCAGCGAGGAGGAAGGUGGUGAACUUAAUACGUCAUCAAUGACGUACUCGCA